rnacentral:rRNA from 1 species
UACGGAGGGUGCAAGCGUUGUCCGGAUUUAUUGGGUUUAAAGGGUGCGUAGGCGGCUCAUUAAGUCAGUGGUGAAAUCCUUCAGCUUAACUGGAGAACUGCCAUUGAUACUGACGAGCUUGAGUAUAGUUGAGGUAGGCGGAAUUGACAGUGUAGCGGUGAAAUGCUUAGAUAUUGUCAAGAACACCGAUUGCGAAGGCAGCUUACUAAACUAUAACUGACGCUGAGGCACGAAAGCGUGGGGAUCAAACAGG